UACCCGCUGAACUUAAGCAUAUCAAUAAGCGGAGGAAAAGAAACCAACAGGGAUUGCCCUAGUAACGGCGAGUGAAGCGGCAACAGCUCAAAUUUGAAAUCUGGCUCUCGGGCCCGAGUUGUAAUUUGUAGAGGAUACUUUUGAUGCGGUGCCUUCCGAGUUCCCUGGAACGGGACGCCAUAGAGGGUGAGAGCCCCGUCUGGUUGGAUGCCAAAUCUCUGUAAAGUUCCUUCGACGAGUCGAGUAGUUUGGGAAUGCUGCUCUAAAUGGGAGGUAUAUGUCUUCUAAAGCUAAAUACCGGCCAGAGACCGAUAGCGCACAAGUAGAGUGAUCGAAAGAUGAAAAGCACUUUGAAAAGAGAGUUAAAAAGUACGUGAAAUUGUUGAAAGGGAAGCGUUUAUGACCAGACUUGGGCUUGGUUAAUCAUCUGGGGUUCUCCCCAGUGCACUUUUCCAGUCCAGGCCAGCAUCAGUUUUCCCCGGGGGAUAAAGACUUCGGGAAUGUGGCUCUCUUCGGGGAGUGUUAUAGCCCGUUGUGUAAUACCCUGGGGGGGACUGAGGUUCGCGCAUCUGCAAGGAUGCUGGCGUAAUGGUCAUCAACGACCCGUCUUGAAACACGGACCA
rnacentral:rRNA from 2 species